GCGGGCGUAGCUCAGUCUGGUUAGAGCGUCCGCCUGUCACGCGGAAGGUCACCGGUUCAAAUCCGGCCGCCCGCG
rnacentral:tRNA from 2 species